UACAGAGGGGGCAAGCGUUGUUCGGAAUUACUGGGCGUAAAGGGCGCGUAGGCGGCCUUCUAAGUCGAACGUGAAAUCCCCGGGCUCAACCCGGGAACUGCGUCCGAUACUGGAAGGCUUGAAUCCGGGAGAGGGAUGCGGAAUUCCAGGUGUAGCGGUGAAAUGCGUAGAUAUCGGGAGGAACACCAGUGGCGAAGGCGACUUCUUGGCCUGUUCUUGACGCUGAGGCGCGAAAGCUGGGGGAGCAAACGGG
rnacentral:rRNA from 1 species